UCAUCAUCCAAUGAUUGUUGCAUGCCACUGUGAAGGUAGAGGAUGGAAAUUUUGGGGAGACAAUAAUCUGAAAAGCAAUUUUUGGGACCGUUCAAUCCAGCUUGAUCCUAUUGGUCUUCUAACUCUCGAGUUUGAUGAUGGUGAAGUUUUUCAGUGGAGCAAGGUCACAACUUUUGUGUUCUACCAAUCACCAAUCACCAAAACUUGGAUAGUGUAGGCAUUUCUGUUCCCUUUCAUGAGAUAAUUGAUAUGGUGAGACCA